AUAGAAAGAAAAGCUGCAAUCUGAACAUCACACAGCCUGAGCUUUGUGAGACAUUAAGUCUCACCCUAGAUGAAGCUGGUGAAAUAUAGGCUUUGUGAAGUUUGGCAGAGAAUGGCAGAGGCUUCUGGUUAGCAGCACCAGCACGUAAAAUCAAAAGAAUACAAACAGAUGUGGCUGUCAAAGUGAAGAAUUGUGUUCCCUUUUGCUGGCCUUGAGCAGACUGCAACUUAAGUCGAAGAUAGAAGGCUUCACAAAGACCUUCUUCUGAUAUAUUAGUGUGAUUUUGCCUUCUCUCUAAACACAUAAGUCCCUUAAAUCUCUUUGCAGGCUUUUGUGUUUAAACUCCUCCAGGGCAACAGCUUAGUGAACACAAAAUGUAGCUAACCUAAAUUUUGCUAUAAAUACCCUUUCAGGAUUUUUUUCUUUUGUACCUAGUGUAUUCUUGAACAGUUCUGAAGAUUUUUUUUGUGUGUGUGUGUAUAUGGAAAAGUCUUUGCUAAUCAAUUAAAAAAGUGAUGGUUAUGCCAGAGGUCCAAUGAGUUUUCUACUAUUCAAUUCCUGUCAAAGCAAAUUAGUUGAAAAACUUCCAUGGAGCCCAGAAGAAUUGAAUCAGGCUCCUCAUGUUUAACAAAGCAUAUGGUUCAUAUGGUUUACAAGGCAGAGAAUAAAGUUAUAGUUUGUGUUUACUUACAAAAGAAGAAGUAGAAGAAAAAAAAAACCAUGCUCUUAGCAGCUACUAAAUGGAGUUUAUUGGUUGAUUUUUUUCUAGUUUGGGGAUAUCAAGGGAGAACACAGUGCACUGGCUACACGUGUAUCUAUUCACUGUCUCCAAUAAUACAGAGAGGAUUUUUUUGCCCUUUCAGACAACCAAGUUCCUCUCUAGACAGCUAAAGGAGAGAAAAUAGUAUCAGGAAAAUCGACAUUUUUCAUCAUCUUCCCACUAUCCUUUUUCCUUUGUAACUCUAAUUUUAGCAGAGCAGCUCUUCUUGAUGAAGGGUGUAUGCACCAGUGCUAUCAGCUGAGAGAU